ACACGGAACAUUAAAUUUCCUAGUUUGUAUUUCUUUUUUCAAGUCUUUGAGUAAAUUAACGAUUUGUUAAUGUUUACUCACGCGUAUACCCUUACCAAACCUUUUAGCUUUUCUAAAGCCUAAACGUUUCGCAAUUUCCGAUUCCAAUGCAAGCCCUUUGAAAACCAGCUUUAUUAAAGCCAGCGAGUUCGGUAUGCAGUUUAAAUAAUGGAUCACUGCUCGCAGGAUGUUUAAUGCUGCGUAGCCCUAGUGGGAAAUCAUUCCUCAUGAUUCCACCAGAGGCGGAAGUAAACAUUGCCGAAAUGAAUUUGACGGGUGUUGGAUUUUACGUUCCCUUUUAUAUCGAUAUCGCAAUAUCCGGAUUUUAUUGUUGAAUUUCAGUUUCAAUUGAAAUCACACUGUGUCGUAACAUGACGCGUUUAACGGUUUUGUAUUUAAUAUCCUCUUUUGCGAUAAGCGUGUUGGAUGAUUCGGAUAAUGCGGAACCGACAACCGACAUUUUGGAAGAAAGCAUUUUUUCCUCUGCGUUCAACGUUGUCCAAAAAUUAGCGUGUUAUGCACGAGAAUCUGCCACUGUAGAUGUCCGAUGUACCUUGCGAUGUCUUCGGUACCUAUUCAAAUGUGGAUGAAUA